rnacentral:rRNA from 1 species
ACAGUGGACGCGAGCAUCUGUGGCCAAGUUUUUAAGGGCGCACGGUGGAUGCCUUGGCACCAGGAACCGAUGAAGGACGUGGGAGGCCACGAUAGUCCCCGGGGAGCUGUCAACCAAGCUUUGAUCCGGGGGUUUCCGAAUGGGGAAACCCGGCAGCCGUCAUGGGCUGUCACCCGCUGCUGAACACAUAGGCAGUGUGGAGGGAACGCGGGGAAGUGAAACAUCUCAGUACCCGCAGGAAGAGAAAACAACCGUGAUUCCGGGAGUAGUGGCGAGCGAAACUGGAUGAGGCCAAACCGUAUGCGUGUGAUACCCGGCAGGGGUUGCGCAUACGGGGUUGUGGGA